rnacentral:rRNA from 1 species
GACGAACGCUGGCGGCGUGCUUAACACAUGCAAGUCGAGCGGUAAGGCCCUUUCGGGGGUACGACGAGCGGCGAACGGGUGAGUAACACGUGGGUGACCUGCCCUCAGCUCUGGGAUAAGCCUGGGAAACCGGGUCUAAUACCGGAUAUGACUCCAUGACGCAUGUUGUGGGGUGGAAAGCCUUGUGCGGCUGAGGAUGGGCCCGCGGCCUAUCAGCUUGUUGGUGGGGUGAUGGCCUACCAAGGCGACGACGGGUAGCCGGCCUGAGAGGGCGACCGGCCACACUGGGACUGAGACACGGCCCAGACUCCUACGGGAGGCAGCAGUGGGGAAUCUUGCGCAAUGGGCGAAAGCCUGACGCAGCGACGCCGCGUGAGGGAUGACGGCCUGGUG